ensembl:lncRNA
UCUGCUGAGCUGCCUCAGUCUGAAUAUGAAUUAGAAAGAAACCACUAUUAAGCCACUGACAUCUUGAGGUUGUUUCUUAUGGCAGUUAGCCACUGAUAGGGUUUGGCUGUGUUCCCACCUAAAUCUCAUCUUGAAUUGUAGUUCCCAUAAUCCCCACAUGCCAUGGGCGGGACCCAGUGGGAGGUAAUUUAAUCAUGGAGCAGUUACCCUCAUGCCAUUCUUGUGAUAGUGAGUAAGUUCUCACGAGAUCUGAUGGGGUUUUAUAAGGGGCUUCCCCCCUCACUUGGCUCUCAUUCUUCUCUCUCCUGCUACCAUGUGAAGAAGGACGUGUUUACUUCCCCUUCUUCCAUGAUUGUGAAUUUCCUGAGGCCUCCCCAGUCAUGCUGAACUGCAUUUCUCCUUCCUGCUACCUUGUGAAGAAGGUGCCUUGCUUCCCCUUCACCUUCUGCCGUGACUGGAAGUUUCCUGAAGCCUUCCCAGCCAUGCUGAACUGUGAGUCAAUUAAACCUCUUUCCUUUGUGAAUUACCCAGUCUCGGGCAGUUGUUUAUAGCAGUAUGAAGAUGGACUAAUACAUAGGUGUAUGUCCAAAGAAUUUGAAAACAGUAUGUCAGAGAUAUAUCUGCACUCCCAUGUUUAUUGUGGCAUUAUUCACAACAGCCAAAAUAGGGAAUCAACCUAUGUUUCCAUUGACAGAUGAAUAAAGAAAAUGUAGCAUAUGUACACAAUGGAAUACUAUUCAGCCUUUAAAAAGAAGGAAAUUCUGUCAUGUGGGACAGCAUGGACAUUAUGCUAAAUGAAAUAAGCCAAGCACAGAAGGACAAAUACCACGUGAUCUCAUUUAUAUGUAGACUCUGAAACAAUUGGACGAAGAGAAGAAUGGUGGUUAUCAGAGACUUAGGGGUAGGAGAAAUAGGGAGAUGUUGGUCAAAGGGUAUAAAGUUUCAGUUAGAUAGGAGAAAUACGUUUUUUUUUUUGGAAUUUAUUGCACAGCAUGGUGACUGUGAUGAAGAAUAAUAUGUUGCUAUGGGAGGAUUGCUUGAACCAGGAGUUGGAGACCAGCCUGGUCAACAUAGUGAGACCCCAUCUCUAUUAAAAAAUAAUGAAGAAAAGAAAAAAAAGGCUGGUGCCGUGGCUCACGCCUGCAAUUCCAGCACUUCUGGAGGCCAAGGUAGGUGGGUCAUUUGAGGUCAGGAGUUUGAGACCAGCCUGGUCAACAUGAUAAACCCCAGUCUCCACUAAAAAUACAAACAUUAGCUGGGUAUGGUGGCAGGUGUCUGUAAUCCUGGCUACUCAGGAGGCUGAGGCAGGAGAAUUGCUUGAACCUGGGAGGUGGAAGUUGCAGUGAGCCAAGAUUGUGCCACUGCACUCCAGCCUGGGUGACAGAGUGAGACUCCAUCUCAAAAUAAUAAUAAUAAUGUAUUACAUAUUUCAAACUUACUAAGAGAUGGAAUUUCAAAUGUUCUUACCACAAAAGUACUUAAGGUGAUGGAUAUGACUAUUAGCUUGAUUUACAAUUCAACAUGUAAACAUAUAGCAUCACUUUGUACCCCAUAAAUGUGUACAAUUAUAAUUUGUCAUUCUGCAAUAAACACAACAGAAAAUAAAAUAAAGCCCACAAGAUUUACUAAAGGAUUAUUUUUGUGGGAUGAGGAAAAGAAAGGAGCCAAAGAUGAUCCCAAAGUCCUU